AUUCGCCCUUAGAGUUUGAUCCUGGCUCAGGACGAACGCUGGCGGCGUGCUUAACACAUGCAAGUCGGACGGUUUGCGCUGGAAGGUUCGCUGGAAGGCGCAGAUAGUGGCGAACGGGUGAGUAACACGUGGAAAACCUACCCUCGAGCGGGGGAUAACUCCGGGAAACUGGGGCUAAUACCGCAUGACAUCCCAACCUGGCAUCGGGAGGGGAUCAAAGCCGAAAGGCACUUGAGGAUGGUUCCGCGGCCUAUCUGCUAGUUGGCGGGGUAACGGCCCACCAAGGCGACGACGGGUAGCCGGCCUGAGAGGGCGAUCGGCCACAAGGGGACUGAGACACGGCCCCUACUCCUACGGGAGGCAGCAGUAGGGAAUUUUGCUCAAUGGGGGAAACCCUGAAGCAGCGACGCCGCGUGGGCGACGAAAUCCUUCGGGAUGUAAAGCCCUUUUAACCGGGACGAAAUACAUGACGGUACCGGUGGAAUAAGCCUCGGCUAACUCCGUGCCAGCAGCCGCGGUAAGACGGGGGAGGCAAGCGUUGUCCGGAAUCACUGGGUGUAAAGGGCGUGUAGGCGGGCCGGCUAGUCGGUUGUUAAAUCUCUCCGCUCAACGGAGGAGCUGCGGCCGAUACUUCCGGUCUUGAGUGCGGCAGGGGAGGAUGGAAUUCCUGGUGUAGCGGUGAAAUGCGUAGAUAUCAGGAGGAACACCGGUGGCGAAGGCGGUCCUCUGGGCCUGCACUGACGCUGAGUGCGCGAAAGCUGGGGUAGCAAACAGAAUUAGAUACUCUGGUAGUCCCAGCCCUAAACGA
rnacentral:rRNA from 1 species